CAGCCCAGUCCCACUGUGCAUGUCAGGCUGUGUCCACCAUGGCCUGGACUCCUCUUCUUCUCUUGCUCCUCUCUCACUGCACAGGUUCCCUCUCCCAGCCUGUGCUGACUCAGCCACCUUCCUCCUCCGCAUCUCCUGGAGAAUCCGCCAGACUCACCUGCACCUUGCCCAGUGACAUCAAUGUUGGUAGCUACAACAUAUACUGGUACCAGCAGAAGCCAGGGAGCCCUCCCAGGUAUCUCCUGUACUACUACUCAGACUCAGAUAAGGGCCAGGGCUCUGGAGUCCCCAGCCGCUUCUCUGGAUCCAAAGAUGCUUCAGCCAAUACAGGGAUUUUACUCAUCUCCGGGCUCCAGUCUGAGGAUGAGGCUGACUAUUACUGUAUGAUUUGGCCAAGCAAUGCUUCUCACAGGUCUAGUGGUGAGUAUGUGGAAAGACCACCACAUCUCAAGGUCACCUUUUUCUGCAUGGGGAGCAGCAGAAACAUUGGGCAUUCCCGUGGAAAUGGCUACGGAGGCCUCCCAGAAAGAGCCCCCAAGUUUAUGACCUAG